UGAGGCGGGCCGACCCCGGCGGGCCACCAUCUUGCGGGCGGAACGGCUACUGCGGUCUGGGCAGCGCCUCCCCUGCGGUGUACAGAGGUGUUGGGCUCGUUCCCUUUGUCCCUUCUCCGCUGGCGUGUAUCAGCGCAUCGCCAGACGCUUGUCCCGGCAGCCCGGCCGCAUUCGUGCCCGGCAAAGCCACUUGAGAGAGCAGCAGAAAGGAGAGCCGUCUCACGGGCGCGUACGGCAGCUUCACGCCUGCGGGGUGACGGCAGCGCAUGAGGUGGCAGAAAGCAGGCUGCCCAGGGAGCUGCUCUGGGGCAAUUUGCAGUUAGAAACCAUUGCAAUUUUCAGUUCCAGGAUUUUCUGACAGCUUCUAUUACUGUAUGGCCCUGCGUGGGACAGAACAGUGUGGCAGGAACAAUGCCAGCUGUUAGAAACCAAGCACAGUCUGUGGGCCUGGCCUAGCCAUCUACAUUAACUUUGGAUCCCGUUUCUGAUCCAGCCAUCCUGGAAGGACUUUGUUAUGGGGUGUGGUAGCAUGGAGUUCACGUCGCGCACAUUCGAUUAGGAUAGAACCAUGAGAAGGUGCCACAGCUACGCCGCCGAUGUCAUCAUCC